AUUGAACGCUGGCGGCAGGCCUAACACAUGCAAGUCGAACGAGUGGCGGACGGGUGAGUAAUGUCUGGGAAACUGCCCGAUGGAGGGGGAUAACUACUGGAAACGGUAGCUAAUACCGCAUACUAUCGGAUGUGCCCAGAUGGGAUUAGCUAGUAGGUGGGGUAAAGGCUCACCGAGGCGACGAUCCCUAGCUGGUCUGAGAGGAUGACCAGUCACCAUGGGACUGAGACAAGGCCCAGACGCCUACGGGAGGCAGCAGUGGGGAAUAUUGCACAACGGGCGCAAGCCUGAUGCAGCCAUGCCGAGUGUAUGAAGAAGGCCUUCGGGUUGUAAAGUACUUUCAGCGAGGAGGCGUUACUCGCAGAAGAAGCACCGGCUAACUCCGUGCCAGCAGCCGCGGUAAUAC
rnacentral:rRNA from 1 species